UACAGAGGGUGCGAGCGUUGUCCGGAAUCACUGGGCGUAAAGGGCUCGUAGGCGGUUUGUCGCGUCGGGAGUGAAAUCAUCUGGCUUAACUGGGUGCUUGCUUUCGAUACGGGCAGACUAGAGGUAUGCAGGGGAGAACGGAAUUCCUGGUGUAGCGGUGAAAUGCGCAGAUAUCAGGAGGAACACCGGUGGCGAAGGCGGUUCUCUGGGCAUGAUCUGACGCUGAGGAGCGAAAGUGUGGGGAGCGAACAGG
rnacentral:rRNA from 1 species